rnacentral:rRNA from 1 species
UACGAAGGGGGCAAACGUUGCUGGGAAUUAUGGGGCGUAAAGCGCACGUAGGCGGCUUGGCAAGUGGGAGGUGAAAUCCCUCGGCUCAACCAAGGAAGUGCAUCCGAAACUGCUGAGCUUGAGUACUUAAGAGGAUCGCGGAAUUCCCGGUGUAGAGGUGAAAUUCGUAGAUAUCGGGAGGAACACCAGUGGCGAAGGCGGCGAUCUGGGAAGAUACUGACGCUGAGGUGCGAAAGCGUGGGGAGCAAACAGG